rnacentral:rRNA from 1 species
CUACACGGGUAUCUAAUCCUGUUUGCUCCCCACGCUUUCGAGCCUCAGCGUCAGUUACAGACCAGAGAGCCGCCUUCGCCACUGGUGUUCCUCCAUAUAUCUACGCAUUUCACCGCUACACAUGGAAUUCCGCUCUCCUCUUCUGCACUCAAGUCUCCCAGUUUCCAAUGACCCUCCACGGUUGAGCCGUGGGCUUUCACAUCAGACUUAAAAGACCGCCUACACUCCCUUUACGCCCAAUAAAUCCGGACAACGCUCGCCACCUACGUAUUACCGCGGCUGCUGGCAC